UUACUCCUACGGGAGGCAGCAGUAGGGAAUCUUCCGCAAUGGACGAAAGUCUGACGGAGCAACGCCGCGUGAGUGAUGAAGGUUUUCGGAUCGUAAAGCUCUGUUGCCAGGGAAGAACGCUAAGGAGAGUAACUGCUCUUUAGGUGACGGUACCUGAGAAGAAAGCCCCGGCUAACUACGUGCCAGCAGCCGCGGUAAUACGUAGGGGGCAAGCGUUGUCCGGAAUUAUUGGGCGUAAAGCGCGCGCAGGCGGCCUUGUAAGUCUGUUGUUUCAGGCACAAGCUCAACUUGUGUUCGCAAUGGAAACUGCAAAGCUUGAGUGCAGAAGAGGAAAGUGGAAUUCCACGUGUAGCGGUGAAAUGCGUAGAGAUGUGGAGGAACACCAGUGGCGAAGGCGACUUUCUGGGCUGUAACUGACGCUGAGCGCGAGAUUUCCCUUUUC
rnacentral:rRNA from 1 species